UACAGAGGUCCCGAGCGUCGUUCGGAUUCAUUGGGCGUAAAGGGUGCGUAGGCGGUCUGCUAAGUUUGAUGUGAAAUCCCGGGGCUCAACCCUGGAAUAGCAUUGAAUACUGGCGGACUAGAGUACUGGAGAGGAAACUGGAAUUUACGGUGUAGCAGUGAAACGCGUAGAGAUCGUAAGGAAGACCAGUGGCGAAGGCGAGUUUCUGGACAGUAACUGUCGCUGAGGCACGAAGGCCAGGGGAGCAAACGGG
rnacentral:rRNA from 1 species